GCCACUGCCCGCCACAGAAAAGAGUGCAAUUUAAGAGAAUAAAUCAAUAAAACACGAAAGGGGGGACGGAGAGCAGUUCUGGGUCAUCGGAAGAAGGCCGAGUUAAUUAAACAGUGGCGAAAAUGGAGGAUGGUGAAGAAGACGAGUUGAGAGGCUUGGCAAGUGCGUCAGCCCCAUCUUUACAACCAAAUUUCAAGCCUAAAAGAGUCACCAACGAGCAACUCUCUAAAUUUCAGGUGCUCUUUUUCCUUGAUUUCCGUUCGAAUUUGGGUUUAGGGUUUAGUUCAAUGUCAUCAUUCAUUAUAAUGCUUCUUAUCUAACAUCAAGACGGGAGGGGAAAGAAAGAAAGAAACUUCUUGGUAGUGAAAUUGUGAAAGGUGUUUCUGUAUCCAAUCACUAUGGUGGUUGGAAAACCAAUUGUAAAUAUUAGAAGGCCAUGGCCCAUUUAGUAACUACGCGGUUUUUAGUUUUUGGUUUUUGAAAAUUAAGCACCCAUUUUCUUUGGUUAAUCAUUUACUUUGUUUUCAAAAAUCAAGUUAAGUUUUUUGAAAACUAGAAAAAAUAUUUUUAGAAUCUGCUUUUGUUUUUAGAAUUUAGCUAAGAAUCAAUUUUUUUUUAAAAGGAUGAUAAAAAAAUUGAGAGAAAAUAGGCAAAAACCACAAAUAAAAUAGUUACCCGAGGGGCCUACAUGAUUGGUUGAAUAGGAACUGUAGCUUUCACUUUCUUAGCAACGUUUUAAUGGCUACUUUCUUUGGCUCCCUGCAGCAUUUGCUUCGUCAAUUUUCUGAUUACUUAUGGUUUUGUUAAUUUUAAUGUUUGUCCCUCGAUGUACUUUCCCUAUUGCUAUCAUUACUCUUUAUACUAUCAAUUUAAUAUGACAGGAGCUUCAAAGGAGGCGACUUCAGAUUAAAUCAAGGUCAAAGAAAAGAAAGAAUACAAAAGUGGAUGCGACUGGAAAAUCUCAAAUCAAACAUCUGAAUACCAAUGAUGAAGUUAAUGAAGCUGAUUACUCGAGACUUUCCAAUUCUGAGGUUGAUUUUGGGGAAAAGAGCUCCCAUGUUCAGCAAGACAAGACAAAAACUACGUUUCCAUCCAAAAAGCUACACAAGUUACAUUGGGGGCUUGACACCAAGGAACCAUGGGAGAGGAAGGCAAACAUGUAAAAAUAUAUACAUAUAGGUGGAACGCAGCUGCCAAGUGCUGUAGUGCUGGAUUGGGUUUUGGAAAUGGAAUGAUACGGCUCGAAAGGUUUGUAUUAUGGGUGAUGGAUCAAAUAAUGUGUUGAAUGGCCACUUAUUCACUCAGUUUUAUACUUAUAUCUGCUCAUUAUUGAUCUUACAGACCUGAAUUAUGUGAAAACUUACACAAUGUGGAUGACAAAGACUAGACUAAAGAUAGAGAAACUGUAACAAAUUCUUGUGAAUUGCCUCUAGGUAUGAUGUUGUCUGCAUUCGAACAUAAAACUACUACAUUUCAAGAUGAUUUAACACUGCUUAGAGAACCAUUUUUUGUAAGGUUGUAUUGUAAGUUUAUCCUUCAACUUGAAUGAUAAUGUGUCUAAAUUAUGUUUUU